GGGGUAGCCGGCCUGAGAGGGUGAUCGGCCACAUUGGGACUGAGAUACGGCCCAGACUCCUACGGGAGGCAGCAGUAGGGAAUUUUGCGCAAUGGACGAAAGUCUGACGCAGCAAUACCGUGUGAGGGAUGAAGCAUUUCGGUGUGUAAACCUCUGUCGAUGAUGAAUAAAGCAUUGGGGAGUGGAAAGCCCCGGUGUUGAAGGUAAUCAUGAAGGAAGCACCGGCUAACUCUGUGCCAGCAGCCGCGGUAAUACAGGGGGUGCAAGCGUUGUUCGGAAUUACUGGGCGUAAAGGGAGCGUAGGCGGAAUUGCAAGACAGAGGUUAAAUCUCCGGGCUCAACCUGGAACUUGCCUUUGUGACUGCAGUUCUUGAGUAUGGUAGAGGUCAGUGGAAUUUCCGGUGUAGCGGUGGAAUGCGUAGAGAUCGGAAAGAACACCAGAGGCGAAGGCGACUGACUGGACCAAUACUGACGCUGAGGCUCGAAAGCGUGGGGAGCAAACAGGAUUAGAUACCCUGGUAGUCCACGCUGUAAACGAUGAACACUAGAUGUCGGGAGGGGUUCCUUCCGGUGUCGUCGCUAACGCAGUAAGUGUUCCGCCUGGGGAGUACGCUCGCAAGGGUGAAACUCAAAGGAAUUGACGGGGGCCUGCACAAGCGGUGGAGCAUGUGGUUUAAUUCGAUGCAACGCGAAGAACCUUACCUGGGCUUGACAUGGGAAUGACCGCUCGAGAGAUCGAGUUUUCUCUUCGGAGACAUUCCGCACAGGUGCUGCAUGGCUGUCGUCAGCUCGUGUUGUGAGAUGUUCGGUUAAGUCCGGCAACGAGCGCAACCCCUGUCUUUAGUUGCUAACAGGUUAUGCUGAGCACUCUAAAGAGACUGCCCGGGUUAACCGGGAGGAAGGUGGGGAUGACGUCAAGUCCUCAUGGCCCUUACGCCCAGGGCUACACACGUGCUACAAUGGUCGGUACAGUGGGAAGCAAUACCGCAAGGUGGAGCAAAUCCUUAAAGCCGUCCUCAGUUCGGAUUGGAGGCUGCAACUCGCCUCCAUGAAGCUGGAAUCGCUAGUAAUCGUAGAUCAGAAUGCUACGGUGGAUACGUUCCCGGGCCUUGUACACACCGCCCGUCAAGCCACGAAAGAAGAGAGCGCUCCAAGUCGCCAAGCCAACCCUUACCGGAGGCCAGCGCCUAAAGCGAGAUCUUUGAUUGGGGCUAAGUCGUAACAAGGUA
rnacentral:rRNA from 1 species